CUGAUGGCCAUGCGGCCUUUGGAUGGGGGCUCAGGGUGGAGGAGGGCAGGUUGGUUGGGAUGGGUUCUACAUCCUUCUCUUGCCCCUGUUUACAGAAACCUCUGGAGGCAUGGACUCCCCCGUCACAGAGCCUGACUCCUCAGCUGAGUGGUCGUCCUCGGACCUAGACCCAGUGAUGGCCUGUGAGGCUCGGGCUGUGAGCUCAGGCAGGACCCACGCAGAGGCCGUCAGACAACAGUCACAAUAA
rnacentral:lncRNA from 10 species